ensembl:lncRNA
GGAUCCCUGUGUCUGGAAGAUCCCUGGAGAAGGAAAUGGCCACCCUCUCCAGUAUUCUUGCCUGGAGAAUCCCAUGGACAGAGGAGCCUGGCGGGCUUCCGUCCAUGGGGUGGCAGAGUCGGACACGACUGAGCGACUAAGCACACAGCGUGUACUUCUAAAGUCUUUAACUCUUGCUGUUAAGCCUCUGCUGAAGCCCUACCUCCUGAAGUCAUAAGAGCUUCAGGAAGCCUUCCUGAAGUCAUGAGAGCUCAUACCCCAUGUGUUUCCACUUCUGUAAUCCUCACGACGCACCUUCGCUACUUGUUUCAUGUCCAUUUUCUCCAUAAAUUGUAAACUCCAUCCAGGCAGAAACUUGCUCUUUGUAUCUCUAGCGUGCGCCCUUCAAGCACUACCUGAAUAGACUUGGCCCUCCUAGGAAUGAAAUAUCCAUCUGAUUUUCAUAUUCUGAUGCAGAAGAACCAUCUCCCCAGCUUUCCCAUCCCCUUUUCUCUCUCUCCUUUUUUGUCCUAUCUUUUUGAAUAAGCUUAGCUGCAGACAGAGUGUGUUAGCCCAGACAGCCCCCUCCAGUGCAGUAAUCACAUCUCUUCCAGAAUGUUCUUUGUUUGAAAUCCUGUUAAAAAAUACUCAAGUUCAGCCUGACUACACAAAUGAUGCUUCAGCAAUAACAGAAUUAUUUGUUUUUCAAAAAUAAUGUUUUCUCUUGCUCAUAUGCUCACAGCAAAGCUUGCGUGAUAUGAAUAAAUGUUAUUAAAAGUCCAGGUCAUCCUCAAGGGUUAUGUAAGCCUGUUGCGGGAAAGUUUGUGGUCACAGAAGGAGUGUUAGAGUUUGGGGAGAGAAGAGGACUCAGGAAGCAGCCGAGCCUGUCUGUUGCUGGGUUUCCCUCCUCUGGAGAUUCAUGUGAGGCUCAACAAGAGACUCUCACCUGUCCAGCCCUUCGCGUCAUUAGCAUCUGCAGAAUCAAAGGGAGGAAUUACUGAUCUGUGACAGGAAGAAAGUGCUUAGGCACUGCCUCUGUGUGCUCAUAUAGAAAGAACAUUUCACGAAUGCACAUUCAGCGGGUCGUUCUGGUUUUCCUGAUUUUUACCUCUGGCCACUGUCCAUGAGGUUGCUAAGAGUCGGACACGACUGAGCAACUUCACCUUCACUUUUCACUUUCCUGCAUUGGAGACGGAAAUGGCAGCCCACUCCAGUGUUCUUGCCUGGAGAAUCCCAGGGACGAGGGAGCCUGAUGGGCUGCCAUCUAUGGGGUCGCACAGAGUCGGGCACGACUGAAGCGACUUAGCAGCAGCACCACCACCAGUUUCUAGAUACCUUGUUCUAGACGCCCUUGCUUUUACCAGAGACUUCACGCCCUCUGGUGGUGAGUAUGAAGUACACCAGCGCAGUCAGCUUGGUUCACUUUACCUGAAAAUUCCAUGGACUGAGAGGCUCCUCAGAGCCUGGUAGGCUACAGUCCACGGUCUCGCAAAGAGUCGGACACGACUGAGCGACUUCACUUUCACUUUCAUCUGAACCCUGUAAAGACUAUGAAAUGGUAGGUGAUUUUUACCUCAAUUAUGACUGUGAUCUGUUUCCAAAUAUUAGCAUAUUAAUCAUUAAGUUUCAGUUUAGUGGGUAUUAAGUGCCUUGCCUGGUAAGCAUAAAUUUACAACUGGACUAUUUCAAUCCUAGUAUUUUACAGUGGUUCUCAAGUUUUGAUGUGCGAAAGAAUCACCAGAGAAAUCUGAUUAAAGCUCCAGUUCUCAACCACAGCUCCAGACGUCCUUGUUCGGCAGGCUUUGGGUUUCCCAGAAAUAGGCCCAUUUAAAAUGAGCCCCGGGGGGAUUCCCUGGUGGCUCAGUGGUAAAGAAUCUGUCUGCCAAUUUCAGAGUUAGGAUUGGCACAAGAGAAGCCACUGCGAUGAGAAGCCCACUUGCUUCAGCUGGAGAAAAGCCCAUCAGCCACAGAGACCCAGGACAGCCAAAGAUAAGUGCAUAGUUAGUUAUCCUUUAAAAGACGAGCCUCUGACGAGGUCGACCUGUGUGAGCUGUACUUUGAGAAAUGCUGGCUUAAAUACUAACAGUACGGAUUUGGAACCAAACCCAAGUCCCGUCUCUGCCGGUAGUAUGACAUUGGAUUGUCCCAUCCGUAAGAAGGCAAUGAGAAUAUUUACUCCAUAGAUCUGUCGCAGGGUAAAACGAGACCCUAAUUUAAAGGGCUUGGCAGGAUCUGGUCAUGGCAGGGACCCAGUACAUGCCAGCUCUUAUUAUGUGUAGUAUUGAUUUAAUUAGGUCAAACUAUGAGCGACUUCCCUUUCACUUUUCACUUUCAUG